UACAGAGGGGGCAAGCGUUGUUCGGAAUUACUGGGCGUAAAGGGCGCGUAGGCGGUCUGUUAAGCGUGAAGUGAAAUCUCCAGGGCUCAACCCGGAAACUGCUUUGCGAACUGGCAGACUAGAGGAAGGUAGAGGUAAGUGGAAUUCCCGGUGUAGCGGUGACAUGCAUUGAUACCGGGAGGAACACCCAUGGCGAAGGCAGCUUACUGGACCUUAUCUGACGCUGAGGCGCGAAAGCGUGGGUAGCAAACAGG
rnacentral:rRNA from 1 species